rnacentral:rRNA from 1 species
UACGAAGGGGGCUAGCGUUGCUCGGAAUUACUGGGCGUAAAGGGCGCGUAGGCGGGUCGUUAAGUUAGAGGUGAAAGCCCAGGGCUCAACCCUGGAAUUGCCUUUAAUACUGGCGGCCUUGAGUAUGGCAGAGGUGUGUGGAACUCCGAGUGUAGAGGUGAAAUUCGUAGAUAUUCGGAAGAACACCAGUGGCGAAGGCGACACACUGGGCCAUUACUGACGCUGAGGCGCGAAAGCGUGGGGAGCGAACAGG